rnacentral:tRNA from 1 species
GCCCAGUUAGCUUGGAAGGUAGCGCGUCUGCCUUGUAAGCGCUAGGUCGCGGGUUCGAUUCCCGCCCGAGGCG